GCCCCCGUUGUCUAAUGGUUAUGACGUCAGACUUCUAUCACAUCACGCGAUGUACAAGGGGGGUAAUCUGGAGGUUGCGGGUUCGAGUCCCGCCGGGGGUU